rnacentral:lncRNA from 1 species
AUGUCUCUAGUUCAGGCACUGCCUGUGCCCACUGAUCACCCGAAGCCCACUGCGGCAGGCACCAUGGGCUCCGUCAGCAGCCUUAUCUCUGGACGUACCUACCAGGAGCGUCACUGCCGAGCUGCCAGCGACUUUGGCGCCAAGUAUCGCAAACCCACACCAACUACGAGCUGUUUCCGACAGCAAGAGGGCACGCUGCGCAGUGCCAGCUCACAGGAGCAGCUUCUCACCAGACAGCCUCCUCUACCUGCUAAGAACAAGUCCUCUGCCCUCAUCUCUGCUGGCAAUGGCAACUAUGGCUAUUUGAGUGAUGAGCCAGUGGGCGACUGGAAUGAUAAUCAUGUUACCCCGUGCAGCCCGUCCAGUGAUACCGAAGAGCCUCCUGAUAACAGAGGCAUGAAUGGUAACAUUGGUGGCCCUCCUCCCAAACUCAUCCCAGUGUCAGGGAAGCUGGAAAAGAGUAUGGAGAAGACACUGAUCCGUCCCACUGCCUUUAAGCCGGUUGUGCCCAAGAAUCGCAACUCUGUGCAGUACCUGUCUCCACGGUCAGGGGGCAGUCUGACUGAAAGCCAGGGCAGCCUCAACCUCUUACUUCCUGGCACUGGAGCAUUGUUGGGUUGUCAGGAGAAGCGUAACUCUUACAGUGGGGGGCGCAACGCACGGAAUAGCCAAUCCUGCACUAUGUCGGACUCAGGCCGCAACUCACUCUCCAGUCUACCAACCUACAGCAGCACAGGGUACAGCCUGGCACAGAGCGAGGUUCCCACCGGGCACAUGGAAACCACACGCUCCAGUGGUGGCCACGGACACUCUAACUCUGACAGUGGUCGGUCAUCAUCCAGUAAGAGCACAGGGUCUUUAAGUGGCCGUGGGCAGCCCCUCUCAGACAGUGGAUCGUGUGGCCGCUCCCCGGCUCCAGGAGAAGGGUAUGAGGGCGUCAUUCGGGAACUUGAGGAGAAGCUGAGGGAAAGAGACCUCCAUCUGUCAGGUGACAAUCUAAAAUCAUAUGUCUUUUCCAUGCAGGUGUAUGAGGAGAAACAGAAGCGGUGUGAGCAAGAGUUGGAGGACCUUCGGCAGAGCUGUGCAUCGAAAAUGAAGCAGGUGCAGCUGAAGGCACAACGGGCACAACAGGUCCUGCAGUUGCAGGUGUUCCAGCUGCAGCAAGAGAAGAAGAAAUUGCAGGAGGACUUCUCCCAACUGCUGCAGGAACGGGAGGCAUUGGAGAAGAGAUGUGCCUCUUUUGAGAAGGAGCAGACUCAACUAGGUCCUCGUCUAGAAGAGACAAAGUGGGAGGUCUGUCAGAAGUCUGGUGAGAUCUCUCUGCUGAAGCAGCAGCUGAAGGAUGUACAGGCUGAUCUUGGUCAGAAGGCCAGCGAGAUUGUUGCUUUGAAGGCCCAGUUGAGAGAGGCUCGUUCCGAGCUUCAAGCUAGCCAGGCUCGCUCGCAGGAAGCCCACGCCACAGCCCGCACCCGUACACUCGAACUUGAGGUUUGCGAGAAUGAGCUGCAGCGUCGUAAAAGCGAAGCGGAGCUCCUGCGGGAGAAGGUGGGCCGUUUGGAAGAGUCCAUCCGUCUUAAAGAGACCCUGGCACAGUUUCUAGCAUAUGAAAGCGAUGAAGCGAAGGUGCAGCGUCAGAGCGUGGAUGUGCUUCAUGGUCUCCGUCAGCAGGUGGACCGAAUGCGGGCUGAGCUGAUGUAUGAGAGGAGGCGGAGUGAGGACCAGCUGGAGGCCUUUGAGGAUGAACGCAGGGUAUGGCAGGAGGAGAAAGACAAGGUGAUUCGUUACCAGAAGCAGCUGCAGCAGAACUACAUCCAGAUGUACCGCAGAAACCGAGACCUAGAACGUGUGAUGAGAGAACUUAGUCUUGAGCUGGAGAACAGGGACAUGGAGGAGUUUGACAUGCGUAGCAAUGAGAUCCAUUUUGAGGAGAUCACUGCCACUGAAAUCUAA